ACUCUCCCCUAUCGAUUUCAAGAUUUUGAUGAAAUCGAUUGUCUUCACUCUCCCCUAUCGAUUUCAUCGGUUUCAUCAGAUUACGAUUGAGAUGAUAUCGAUUCCAACAGACUCUCCCAGAUGCGUAUAUAUUUGACAUAUCGUUGGGUAAUCUAUUUCUCUUUAGUUUGGGACGUACUUCGUUGGGCAAUAUUAUCAGGUGCUUCAGACGCAGCCUGAUUUCGUUCACCAAUUUUACAGCGAUAGGAGCACGUUAGUGUAACUCAAAGAAAUCACGUCCAAAUUAGAUGACUUAUUUUGACUCUGUUUUCAGUUCGAGAAUUUGCUACUAUCAAUAUACGGAUUUUGAGUUCAAGAAUUUGCUGCGUUGCUGCUAUUGUUAGCUAAUUUUGAGG